UUGGCACGACCCCCGGCUCGCGAUCUCGGGCUGGGGGCGUGACAGAUAGCCUAACGACAAAGAAUUGUAUAUACGGAACACUCCCAAACUGGAGAAAGUUUCAGACCUUCCUGCGCUCACAACCCUCGAUGUUGUGUACUGCCCGAAAUUGCAAGUGGUGGAGAAUCUUCAAUCCUUGAAAAGGAUGAAACUGCUCGAUUAUAAAAUGAAAUCGCUCCCAUCAUACUUGCUGAAAGGAGUACAUACAGCUCAUCUGGAGAAGCUGGAGAUCCGGUGCAGCAGGGAACUGAUAAGAAAUAUUUGCCAAAGGGCCAGCCUAGAGUGGCAAAUAAUCCAAGGAAUCCAGCAGGUGCGUGUAUACUCAGAGGAUGAAUCGGUACAUGCCUUCUAUAACAAGUCCCCCUACAGUUUCUCUAAUCUGUGCCUCCUCCGCACUUCCUUUCAACCAUGAUUUCUGUUCUUUCCAGGUUCUGGGAAAUGAAAAGCAGGAAUGGCAUCUCGUUAAAGCUAUAUAGGAAUUCAACUUCCUAAAGAAGAAUUGUUUAUGGGAUUAGAAGAAUGGGAACUGGGAAACUAUGAAUCUAUGACUUUCCGGAAAGCUUAAAUUGUCCUAGCUCAUGUUUCUUUGAAGGAUUAAAUAAAAAGUUAUUCAUGGAAUAGCA